rnacentral:rRNA from 1 species
GAUGAACGCUGGCGGCGUGCCUAAUACAUGCAAGUCGAGCGAACAGACGAGGAGCUUGCUCCUCUGACGUUAGCGGCGGACGGGUGAGUAACACGUGGAUAACCUACCUAUAAGACUGGGAUAACUUCGGGAAACCGGAGCUAAUACCGGAUAAUAUAUUGAACCGCAUGGUUCAAUAGUGAAAGACGGUUUUGCUGUCACUUAUAGAUGGAUCCGCGCCGCAUUAGCUAGUUGGUAAGGUAACGGCUUACCAAGGCAACGAUGCGUAGCCGACCUGAGAGGGUGAUCGGCCACACUGGAACUGAGACACGGUCCAGACUCCUACGGGAGGCAGCAGUAGGGAAUCUUCCGCAAUGGGCGAAAGCUUGACGGAGCAACGCCGCGUGAGUGAUGAAGGUCUUCGGUUCGUAAAACUCUGUUAUUAGGGAAGAACAAAUGUGUAAGUAACUAUGCACGUUUUGACGGUACCUAAUCAGAAAGCCCCGGCUAACUACUU